ACACAAUUCCCUGGUAGCUGUCCUGAGUACUCUGUUGUAGAUGGUGACCAUGGUAAACAGAAACACUAUCUGGCAUUCUCCUGGUGGGUGUGCAUUAUGAAACCACCAUUCUGUCAGUAGGGGGUGGGAAUACUGCUUCUGCUCGUUACUAUGGUGAUCUAGGGAGUCAUGAAAACAGUGUUUUCUGAAGUCAUACCUGCAUGUGAAUAUAUCAAUAUAGAAAUAUGAAAAAGAGAGAGAGAUGCUACUUAAUGCAAGCCAAUAUCAAUCGUGAUAGUGAGACAGUGUGUUAUCAUGAAGAAGGGGUGCAGUCAGAAAGAUGUGGGUUCAAAUCCCAUCUUUGACACAAACUGUAUGAUUAUAGACAAGUAACAACCUCUCUGAUCCUGUUUCCUUAUGUAUCAAGGGAUGAAUCGUCACUCAAAAAGGCUCGAAUGGGCAAUUUCUCUCUUCCCUUGUGGCCAAUAAGGCAAGAACUGCUGGAGGACUCUGGAUGGGGAGGAAGGAAGGAGGAAUGUGGUGGUAAUCACAGGCAACAGCCCAAAGGUCCAGCAUGAGGAAGUCGGCUACAUAGGGAACACAGUGAAAGAAAGCCAUUUUUUGGAACAGUGUAUCCUUUUCAACCCAAAUUACCUAAAGCAAAGAGAAAAUAGGAAGGCUUAAAAGAAGGGGGAGGCAUGAUCUGCUUGCAAGGAUAUCUAAAUAAAACCAGGUUCAAGUGGAAAUUGGCUUGUAAC
rnacentral:lncRNA from 1 species